GAUCCUUUUCGGAUGGCUUUAGAAUAAAAGUAUUGCCACAUGUGACAGCCACAGGAAACAUCUGCUAACAAAAAAAUUUGAAAACAAAAAAGAAGAUAACUAAACCACUAAAUCUCAUCAAUAAACCAUAUGAAUCGCUUAUCAUUUUGCUCGAGCUACUGACAAAAGCUUAGCUACAACUAUGAACUAUCCAAAGAAAGGGCUAAAAUACCAAAACACACAAUGGCAGGCUAAUAGACUAUUCAAAUCAUGGUCUCUACUCCAUCAUAGCCAUCAUCGCCAUGUUUACGUCUCAAGAUCAUAAGUUACAGAGAUGAUGGCAGUCCUAUGAGUUACAUUUGUGGCCAGACCAUAGAACAAUUAAUAACACAAAAAAGGUACGAGUAUAAUAGACUUAAC
rnacentral:misc_RNA from 1 species